rnacentral:lncRNA from 1 species
CUUGGUGGUUGGCUACUGAGGUACAAGCAAGAGACCUCAGAUUAGGAUGGUGGUAGCAGAUAUUGUGUAGAAAGGACAGAUGUUAGAGCCAUUUUUAGGGAACAUUGAAGAACUGGAAUAAUGGACAUGAAUGGAGAAGAUAGGCAUCCAUAUUGGACCAGCCCCUGUCCACAGUAUUGAAGAUAUCCUUAUGUCCUUAAAAUUAAUCUAUUUUGUGGGAAACAUUGUGAAAGUUACCCAAAGAGAAGAAAAUGUGUUUAUGAUGAAGUUGCUGUCAUCCAGAAACUUAUAAUCAAGUUGGUAAGAUAUGACAUAAUUUGCUAUUUAAAGCACACGUGCACACACACACACACACACACAAAUUCAAGGCUGGAUAUGUACUUAAGUAUAUCAAAUUUUUAAGUUGCUAUUUUGAUUUUUUUCAAAUAUACAGAUGUGUCUGAAUGCAGGGAUUAUAGCUGAGC